AACGCGAAGAACCUUACCAGGUCUUGACAUCCCUCUGACCGGUCCGUAACGGGACCUUUCCUUCGGGACAGAGGAGACAGGUGGUGCAUGGUUGUCGUCAGCUCGUGUCGUGAGAUGUUGGGUUAAGUCCCGCAACGAGCGCAACCCCUAUCCUUAGUAGCCAGCAGUUCGGCUGGGCACUCUAGGGAGACUGCCAGGGAUAACCUGGAGGAAGGCGGGGAUGACGCCAAAUCAUCAUGCCCCUUAUGAUCUGGGCUACACACGUGCUACAAUGGUGACUACAAAGGGAAGCAGCCCUGUGAAGGUGAGCAAAUCCCAAAAAGGUCAUCCCAGUUCGGAUUGUAGUCUGCAACUCGACUACAUGAAGCCGGAAUCGCUAGUAAUCGCGAAUCAGAAUGUCGCGGUGAAUACGUUCCCGGGUCUUGUACACACGC
rnacentral:rRNA from 1 species